rnacentral:rRNA from 1 species
GGGUGAGUAACACGUGGGCAACCUGCCCAAAAGAGGGGGAUAACACUUGGAAACAGGUGCUAAUACCGCAUAACCAUAGUUACCGCAUGGUAACUAUGUAAAAGGUGGCUAUGCUACCGCUUUUGGAUGGGCCCGCGGCGCAUUAGCUAGUUGGUGGGGUAAAGGCUUACCAAGGCAAUGAUGCGUAGCCGAACUGAGAGGUUGAUCGGCCACAUUGGGACUGAGACACGGCCCAAACUCCUACGGGAGGCAGCAGUAGGGAAUCUUCCACAAUGGGCGAAAGCCUGAUGGAGCAACGCCGCGUGGGUGAAGAAGGUCUUCGGAUCGUAAAACCCUGUUGUUAGAGAAGAAAGUGCGUGAGAGUAACUGUUCACGUUUCGACGGUAUCUAACCAGAAAGCCACGGCUAACUACGUGCCAGCAGCCGCGGUAAUACGUAGGUGGCAAGCGUUAUCCGGAUUUAUUGGGCGUAAAGGGAACGCAGGCGGUCUUUUAAGUCUGAUGUGAAAGCCUUCGGCUUAACCGGAGUAGUGCACUGGAAACUGGGAGACUUGAGUGCAGAAGAGGAGAGUGGAACUCCAUGUGUAGCGGUGAAAUGCGUAGAUAUAUGGAAGAACACCAGUGGCGAAAGCGGCUCUCUGGUCUGUAACUGACGCUGAGGUUCGAAAGCGUGGGUAGCAAACAGGAUUAGAUACCCUGGUAGUCCACGCCGUAAACGAUGAAUGCUAAGUGUUGGAG